UCAUAAGAAUGUGAAGCUGCUAGGAGCUUAAACGGGUGGAACUGCGAAGGACGAACGAGGGCAUUCAACUCGUCCUGCGGACGGGACCGGGCUUUUCUGACUUGCGCCGUGCUCAUUAACCCCAAGUGAAGCGCGGGAGGCCCGGUCUGUGACACAAGUCCGUAGGGCGGGCGUAAUUGUCCCCUCUAGUAGUGUGACGCAGCGAACCGUAUGCGGGAGCCAGAAGGGCCUAAAGUUGGCGUCCGGAAUGGUACCCUCGGUCAGGAGGGGAAACCGGCGUGCUGCUGCUCUAUGGCUGGCUCUGAUGCCGCAACGGUUCCUUGAUGGAAGGGGCCCCCUUUCGCUGCGAAGUAGCGGUGAUCCACCCGACCCGUCUUGAAACACGGACCAAGGAGUCUAACCUGUGCGCGAGUCUAAGGGUCUCUUGAGACCCGGAGGCGCAAUGAAAGUGAGCGGAAUGAAUUUCCAGUGCUGGCCGAUCCCCGGGGGUAAAAUCCCGGGGCGCAGGCCGAGGACUCGCCGCUGGGCGGCUGCCGUGGCUGGCCUCGACUCUUCCCUUUCGGGGGUUGGGAUGGGGCUGGCUGGGCGGACCGCCGGCGAGUACCUUGAGAGCGCACACGUUGGGACCCGAA
rnacentral:rRNA from 1 species